rnacentral:rRNA from 1 species
CCUACGGGGGGCAGCAGUGGGGAAUUUUGGACAAUGGGGGCAACCCUGAUCCAGCCAUUCCGCGUGAGUGAAGAAGGCCUUCGGGUUGUAAAGCUCUUUCAGCAGGAACGAAACGGUAGGCUUUAAUAAAGUUUGCUAAUGACGGUACCUGAAGAAGAAGCACCGGCUAACUACGUGCCAGCAGCCGCGGUAAUACGUAGGGUGCGAGCGUUAAUCGGAAUUACUGGGCGUAAAGCGUGCGCAGGCGGUUUUGUAAGACAGAUGUGAAAUCCCCGGGCUUAACCUGGGAACUGCGUUUGUGACUGCAAGACUAGAGUGUGGCAGAGGGGGGUAGAAUUCCACGUGUAGCAGUGAAAUGCGUAGAGAUGUGGAGGAAUACCGAUGGCGAAGGCAGCCCCCUGGGUUAACACUGACGCUCAUGCACGAAAGCGUGGGGAGCAAACAGGAUUAGAUACCCCAGUAGUC